GAUAACGCUGGCGGCGUGCUUAACACAUGCAAGUCGAGCGGUGACAGGAGGAGCUUGCUCCUCCUUGAUCAGUGGCGAACGGGUGAGUAACACGUGAGUAACCUGCCCCAGACUCUGGAAUAACCCCGGGAAACCGGAGCUAAUACCGGAUACGAGACGGAGCCGCAUGGCUACCGUCUGGAAAGUUUUUCGGUCUGGGAUGGACUCGCGGCCUAUCAGCUUGUUGGUGAGGUAGUGGCUCACCAAGGCGACGACGGGUAGCCGGCCUGAGAGGGCGACCGGCCACACUGGGACUGAGACACGGCCCAGACUCCUACGGGAGGCAGCAGUGGGGAAUAUUGCACAAUGGGCGAAAGCCUGAUGCAGCGACGCCGCGUGAGGGAUGAAGGCCUUCGGGUUGUAAACCUCUUUCAGCAGGGAAGAAGCGAAAGUGACGGUACCUGCAGAAGAAGCACCGGCUAACUACGUGCCAGCAGCCGCGGUAAUACGUAGGGUGCGAGCGUUGUCCGGAAUUAUUGGGCGUAAAGAGCUUGUAGGCGGUUUGUCGCGUCUGCUGUGAAAAUCCGAGGCUCAACCUCGGACUUGCAGUGGGUACGGGCAGACUAGAGUGUGGUAGGGGAGACUGGAAUUCCUGGUGUAGCGGUGGAAUGCGCAGAUAUCACGAGGAACGCCGAUGGCGAAGGCAGGUCUCUGGGCCACUACUGACGCUGAGAAGCGAAAGCAUGGGGAGCGAACAGGAUUAGAUACCCUGGUAGUCCGCGCCGUAAACGAUGGAUACUAGCUGUUCGGAGCAAUCUGAGUGGCUAAGCGAAAGUGAUAAGUAUCCCACCUGGGGAGUACGUUCGCAGAAUGAA
rnacentral:rRNA from 1 species